GCUUGCCUCCGAGAGGGAACGACGAGGUUUGUAAUUGUUUUUUUCCCUUCAUUAUGCUUUCUUUAUAUAUUCCUUCGACAAGUUGCAUGCACCAACUUUUUGUUUGCUCCUUUGUAGGUGUACUAAUGUUUGAUGAGAUGAGCGUGCGGAAAAGCCUGCACCUGAGAGAGUCGGACAUGAAACUCAUAGGAAAAGUGAAUUUCGGGGAGCACACCAGGCCAUCAGACCACGAGCGAGACACAGAUCACGUGCUAGUUUUUCUAUUCCAGCCUUUCCUUGCAGGUUGGUCUCAAACAGUAGGCACGUUCUGUACUUCAAGUGCUGCUCCAGGUUCAGUCAUAGCAAAAUUGCUGCUGCAGUGCAUUGUGCACUUGUACAAUUCCGGAGCUGUUGUUGAUGCGGUGACUUGUGACAACUCAACGAGCAACCGGUCAGCUUUGAGAUCACUGGGCAUAUGUGGUGAAAUGGGAAACACAAAAACAUCAUUUGAGCAUCCAUGCGACCCUUCUAGAGUCGUCUAUUCAGUGAUAGACCCACCCCACAUAUUCAAGUGUAUACGAAACAAUCUACUGAAGGUUGGAAAGUUCUUGCUCCCACAGGGACAAGAAGUCUACUACUCCCAUUAUGCAGCCCUCCUGGAAUAUGAAGAGGAACAGGCUGGUCUUCUUGUAGUGCC